CCCCCGCAGGUCAGCGGGCAUGACCGCCAACGCACUCCCCCGGCCUCCGGAGCCGUGUGCGCAGGUUCGAAUCCUGCCGGGGGCA
rnacentral:tRNA from 2 species